UAUGGAACCGUUUCUAUUGAUGACUCUUCAUAACUGGUAAUGAGUAAUAAUAAAUAAUUGACAGGUAUUGCUAACUGGAGAUGUGAACAGACCAGGUGGCCAUUCCUACCAGGGAGAAGUGAGGGUAAGUGGCUGUCCCGGUCAAGGAGGUAAGAAAUACCAGUCUCCAAACAUCCAUGUGUAUAUCAAGUGGUGUGGAGUUUACUUUCAGGGAGAAGAACUGUGGUGGACCUUACUUGUCACGGGGAGAGUGUGAAAAGCAGAGGCAAGACAAAGCAACAUGGACUAGCCAGCUGCUCAAUCCAUGGAGGACUCCAAUGAGAAGACGCUGUUAUUUCUAGGAACAAACAGAAAACAAACAGUCACUUCAAAUAGUUCAGCUAGUUGCAAAUCUGAAUAGGAAGCAAGUCAGCAGAACACAGACAUGGAGAUGAGAGAAAUGCAGCUGAUUUGAACUUUGAGGGUGUGAAAACUUCAGGAAGUUGCGAGAAGAUCUGUGAUAUCUACAGGAAGGAAACCAGUGAAACUCAUCACUGCUGCCAAGAGGUAAGGAAUUCACCUCAUAAUGGAGAAAUUAAUGGAUCUGGUUUCUCUUCAGGUGAAAGAAAUGCAGCUGAUCUGAUCUCCCAGGGGUUGAGGACUAUAAGCAGUCAUGUGACUGAAGAAUACAGGAACACAUGUUCCCAGACCUGCAGAGGGGGAAAAAGUUGCCUUCCUUGACUAGAACGGGAAGACAAUCCCUUAUCACCGUCAAGUUUCAAACGCACAAUGCAGGAGACCGUCCCUGACAGAGGAGAAGAGUUACAGACACUCAGGAUUUGAGCACAAAGGAAUAGGAAUGGAGCUGAACAGAUCCAGCACCUGAAAAGACAAUCGGAUGUCAUAAGAUAUGAAACCAUGAAAAAGACCCUUCAUCAAUAAAGCAACAGAAUUGGCUCUGAGGAGAGGUAAGCAGCAUUGGGUAAGUCUACCAAAUGCUCAUACAAUCAACUCUACAAAAUUGCUAACUUCCAUUGUGUCAAAGAGUUUGUUACAGCUGAUCACACAUCUCAGGAUCGAAGAGGAGCUCAGGGGCAUGGCAGACCUCAGGGGAUUCAUCUUUAUCAGGAGAUGAUGAACCUGCUUGUCAGUGGCUUUGGUUAGACUUUCAAAUGAAGGAAACACAGCCAGUGUGGUAAGUAUUCAAGAAAUAAUGUUCAAAAUUUGCCUGGGGUCACCUCUUGGGAUAAGGGGAGCAGCUGGUCCCAUCUGCUGGGGUGGAAGCAAAGAAGAAAGAACUGGCCACUGGUUAGUACUGGGACACAGAAAAUCCCCUGGAGGGGCGUGGGACACGGUGUGCAACCACAGUGUGCAGUGGGUCCUUUCCCCACUGUGGUCCUGGCUCACAUGCACAGGGUGAAACUGAUCGCCAUGUUUGGGGUCAGGAAGGAAUUUUCCUCCAGGGCAGAUUGGCCAGAGACCCUGGAGGUUUUUCGCCUUCCUCUGGGGCAUCGAGCAGGGACCAGCCCUUUUGGGCUUUUUAGGAACUGACAAUAAAAUCCAUUCGAGAGA